rnacentral:rRNA from 1 species
GAUGAACGCUGGCGGCGUGCUUAACACAUGCAAGUCGAACGGAAAGGCCCAAGCUUGCUUGGGUACUCGAGUGGCGAACGGGUGAGUAACACGUGGGUGAUUUGCCCUGCACUUCGGGAUAAGCCUGGGAAACUGGGUCUAAUACCGGAUAGGACCACAUUUUGGAUGGUGUGGUGGAAAGUUUUUCGGUGUGGGAUGAGCUCGCGGCCUAUCAGCUUGUUGGUGGGGUAAUGGCCUACCAAGGCGUCGACGGGUAGCCGGCCUGAGAGGGUGUACGGCCACAUUGGGACUGAGAGACGGCCCAGACUCCUACGGGAGGCAGCAGUGGGGAAUAUUGCACAAGGGGCGCAAGCCUGAUGCAGCGACGCCGCGUGGGGGAUGACGGCCUUCGGGUUGUAAACUCCUUUCGCUAGGGACGAAGCGUUAUGUGACGGUACCUGGAGAAGAAGCACCGGCUAACUACGUG